rnacentral:tRNA from 2 species
GAAAAUAUAGUACUCAGUACAUUUUAGUUACAUUAAAAAAGUUUAUUAUUUAAUAAUAUUUUCU